AUGGUGAAGGGCCGCACGGGGCAGCGUGUUAGGCUCUACGUCCGGGGCACCAUCCUCGGCUUCAAGAGGUCGAAGUCGAACCAGUACGAGAGCACGUCGCUGGUGCAGGUCGAGGGGGUGAACACCAAGGAGGACGUGGCGUGGUACGCCGGGAAGCGCCUGGCGUACGUGUACAAGGCCAAGACCAAGAGCAGCGGCACCUGCUACCGCUGCCUCUAG
rnacentral:rRNA from 1 species